rnacentral:rRNA from 1 species
UACGGGGGGAGCAAGCGUUGUUCGGAUUUACUGGGCGUAAAGGGCGCAUAGGCGGCGCAACAAGUCACUUGUGAAAUCUCCGGGCUUAACCCGGAGCGGCCAAGUGAUACUGUCGUGCUAGAGUGCGGAAGGGGCUACUGGAAUUCUCGGUGUAGAGGUGAAAUGCGUAGAGAUCGGGAGGAACAUCUGUGGCGAAGGCGACUGCCUGGACCAGCACUGACACUGAGGCACGAAAGCGUGGGGAGCAAACAGG